rnacentral:misc_RNA from 1 species
GAAACCUAUUGUUACAUAUUGCAAUACCAACAUUCCAAAAAUCUGUGCACUAACUCGAUGCAUCUUAUAUCAGUUGACCAUUUUUUAUUAUGAUUGGACUGAUAUCGGAUAGAAUGCCCAAUUAUUUGAAACUGUGCUUGAAACAAUUGAACAUGGAUGCUUAUGGGUUUUUGUGUUUGGAUUUUAACUCUUUCAUGUCAAAAUAGCAUUUG